CCCCCCCCCCCCCCCCCCCCCCCCCCCCCCCCCCCCCCCCCCCCCCCCCCCCCCCCCCCCCCCCCCCCCCCCCCCCCCCCCCCCCCCCCCGGGGGGGGGGGGAGGUGGCACCGUCCCUGUCCCUGUCCCCAGGGCUCCCAGUGGCUCCCAGUAAGUCCCAGUUCCCAGGAGUGGCCCCGCAGCCCAAAGGGACAGGAGGGGACAGCAGGACACCGCCCCAAAGUCCCCGUGUCCCCUCCAGGGUCCUUGGCACAGCAGGGAGCAGCGGUGGCACCUCCUGGUGUCACCUCAGGUGUUACUGCCUGGUGGCACCUCUGAUGUCACCUCUGGUGUCACCUCCUGGUGUCACCUCAGGUGUUACUGCCUGGUGGCACCUCUGAUGUCACCUCAGGUGUUGCUGCCUGGUGGCAGCUCCUGGUGGCACCUCCAAGGUUCUUCAGUGUCACAUCCCAGGUGUCCCCAGGGUCGUGUUCUUGGUGUCCUCAAUGUCCUCGAUGUCACAUCUCCAGUGUCCCCAGUUCUCCAGUCCCAGUGUUCCCAAUGUCACACCCCUGGUGUCCCCGGUGUCCCGUUCUCAGUGUCCCCAAUGUCACACCCCUGGUGUCCCCGGUGUCCCGUUCUCAGUCUUCUUGGUGUCCCAUUCCUGGUGUCCUUGGUGUCCCAUCCCAGUGUCCCCAAUGUCCCAUCCCAGUGUCCCCAGUUCCCGGUGUCACAAGGUGAAGAUCUCAUCCUUGCUGUCCCCAGUGUCCCCAGUGUCCCCAGUGUCACAAGGUGAAGAUCUCGUCCUCGCUGUCCCCAGUGUCCCCAGUGUCCCCAGUGUCACAAGGUGAAGAUCUCGCCCUCGCUGUCCCCAGUGUCCCCAGUGUCCCCAGUGUCCCCCCCCCCCCCCCCCCCCCCCCCCCCCCCCCCCCCCCCCCCCCCCCCCCCCCCCCCCCCCCCCCCCCCCCCCCCCCCCCCCCCCCCCCCCCCCCCCCC
rnacentral:lncRNA from 1 species